rnacentral:rRNA from 1 species
AUUGAACGCUGGCGGCAUGCUUUACACAUGCAAGUCGAACGGCAGCGCGGGCUUCGGCCUGGCGGCGAGUGGCGAACGGGUGAGUAAUACAUCGGAACGUGCCCAGUAGUGGGGGAUAGCUCGGCGAAAGCCUGAUUAAUACCGCAUACGACCUGAGGGUGAAAGCGGGGGAUCUUCGGACCUCGCGCUAUUGGAGCGGCCGAUGGCAGAUUAGCUAGUUGGUGGGGUAAAGGCCUACCAAGGCGACGAUCUGUAGCUGGUCUGAGAGGACGACCAGCCACGCUGGGACUGAGACACGGCCCAGACUCCUACGGGAGGCAGCAGUGGGGAAUUUUGGACAAUGGGCGAAAGCCUGAUCCAGCAAUGCCGCGUGUGUGAUGAAGGCCUUCGGGUUGUAAAGCACUUUUGGCGGGAACGAAAAGGACUGUGCCAAUACCACGGUUCGAUGACGGUACCCGCAGAAUAAGCACCGGCUAACUACGUG